GCUGGGCAUGGUGGCGUGUGCCUGUAGUCCCAGCUACUUUGGAGGCUGAGGCAGGAGAAUCGCUUGAACCCAGGAGGCAGAGGUUGCAGUGAGCUGAUACCACGCCACUGCACUCCAGCCUGAGUGACAGAGUGAUACUCGGUCUCAA
rnacentral:SRP_RNA from 1 species